UGAGGAAUAUUGGUCAAUGGACGCAAGUCUGAACCAGCCAAGUAGCGUGCAGGAUGACGGCCCUAUGGGUUGUAAACUGCUUUUAUAUGGGGAUAAAGUGGGGAACGUGUUCCCUUUUGCAGGUACCAUAUGAAUAAGGACCGGCUAAUUCCGUGCCAGCAGCCGCGGUAAUACGGAAGGUUCGUGCGUUAUCCGGAUUUAUUGGGUUUAAAGGGAGCGUAGGCCGUUUGGUAAGCGUGUUGUGAAAUGUAGGAGCUCAACUUCUAGAUUGCAGCGCGAACUGUCAGACUUGAGUGCGCACAACGUAGGCGGAAUUCAUGGUGUAGCGGUGAAAUGCUUAGAUAUCAUGAAGAACUCCGAUUGCGAAGGCAGCUUACGGGAGCGCAACUGACGCUGAAGCUCGAAGGUGCGGGUAUCGAACAGG
rnacentral:rRNA from 1 species